GACGAACGCUGGCGGCGUGCCUAACACAUGCAAGUCGAGCGAUGAAACUAGACGGAUUUCUUCGGAAUGAAAGAUAGUGGAUUAGCGGCGGAUGGGUGAGUAACGCGUGAGUAACCUGCCUCAUACAAUGGGAUAGCCACUGGAAACGGUGAAUAAUACCAUAUAAUAUGCUACCUUCGCAUGAAGGAAACAUCAAAGAAUUUCGGUAUGAGAUGGACUCGCGUCUGAUUAGUUAGUUGGUGAGGUAAUGGCUCACCAAGACGAUGAUCAGUAACCGGCUUGAGAGAGUGAACGGUCACACUGGAACUGAGAACGGUCCAG
rnacentral:rRNA from 1 species